rnacentral:lncRNA from 1 species
UCGAAUAUCUAUAUUAGUAAUAAUGGCAUAGUUCUAUACAAAUUAGGUAAGAUGGUCUAAAUUAGUGUAUUUGUGACGACCCCAAAUUAGGUAUACAUCAUCCAUUCUGAGUCGCCAAAUACAUGGUACAGAAACAAAUACAACUUCAGUAAUACAAUUGUCGUGCAAAAUACGACAACACAUAUACUGUGAGUUUGAAUACAAAUAUAGUCUAAUAGAGAGUAUACAAACUCAAAAGAAGUCCUCAUUAUAAUUAUUGAUACACUAUUUUACAAAAUAGUGAGGACUACUAAUAUAUCUAUCCUGAACCAUCACUCCAUACCCUGGCUAGUUCUUGCUAUGUUAUCACCUCCUGAGAAGAAAAAAUGGAACAAAAAGGAAAAGAGUGAGCUCAACUAGCCCAAUAAAGAAUAUUAUGACUAAGAUAAUAUACAACAAUUUAUCAUUAGUCUUCAACAGGGAAAAAUCUGAUAAAAUAUAAUAGACAACAAGUUUUAGAUCAACAACUGCAGCGAAAACAGCAAUCCAUUAAAAGAGUCAAGUAGAGAAAGAAUUUUACUAUCUUCUAAGAUUUAACAGUCCAUCAUCAAUAAUUUAUCCCUGUAACAUCAAUCAAUAUACAUCUUGAAUCAAAUAUUCAUCUUUACACUAUAGGCCAAAUAUAUUUAUUUGUAUCACCAGUUGGUCAUGUUCAUCUCAACACCUGUUCAUCUUUGCACUACGGGCCAAAGAUAUUCAUCAGUUAAUCAUUCAUCUUUGCACUACGGGCCAAAGAUAUUCAUCAGUUAAUCAUUCAUCUUUGCACUACGGGCCAAAGAUAUUCAGUAAUAUCAUUAUUUAGGAUUGAGGAAGAUGAAAAAUAUUUUAAAGAACAAAUUCAGUGAGACAGAAGGACAAAUAUUAGGGAUUCAUAUUUCAGUUUAUCCAAGUUCAAUAAUACUCCAUAAUAAACUAUAGUGAAGUAAAAUUCAAGAAUGAAGAUCAAAACAUGGAUUAAAUUUCAAGAAUAAGGGUCACAACAGAUAACUUGGAAGAAGAAAAAAAAUUUUCUUUUGUGAACAGUAACCGUGAAUAGUACCUGUGAACAGUACCCGUGAACAGUAACUGUGAACAGUACCCGUGAAUAGUACCCAGUCAUGAAAAGUUCUAAAUUUGAUAAAAAAGUUCAGACCAAUAUUUCUAUGAAAUGAUAUUAGAUGAAACGAAAUUUCUAAUCAUUUCAGGAAUUAUAGAAGCAAUACUUACCAUAGUAAGUUCAAAUUUAGGAAUAUGAAAUGAAAUAAUAUUCCUUUCAUACUAUGGAGUAUGAAAGAAAAUAAUAUUUCUUACGAGUAUUGAAAUAAAAUAAUAUCUUUUACCUUGGUAGAAACUGGAUUUGACUGGAAUAUCAGAUAUUAUUCUGAGAAAAUCUUGUAGAAAAACUACGCUCAAAAUAUUCUUAUACUCAAGAAAAAUACUCACAAUACUUUAGAAUAAGAAUUUCUGAAUUUGA